CGUACAACGGGACAGCGGUGGCAGGUUCAGUAUUAGGUAAUAAAAACAAAGAAACGCGCCGGACGAGGCACGCUCGCAGUAUCAUACUACGAUAGUAGAGAGGACUGACACGCGAUAAAAAGUGUGGGAUACGGCGGCUGUCGGUCGUAGCCACAAUCACGAGAACUCUUGUUUUCCCCCCCCCCGGGUACUAGCAUAUCAAUAAGCGGAGGAAAAGAAACCAACAGGGAUUACCUCAGUAACGGCGAGUGAAGCGGUAAAAGCUCAAAUUUGAAAUCUGGCUCUUUUAGAGUCCGAAUUGUAAUUUGUAGAAGAUGCUUCGGGUGUGGUUCCGGUCUAAGUUCCUUGGAACAGGACGUCAUAGAGGGUGAGAAUCCCGUAUGUGACUGGAUACCUAUGCUCAUGUGAAGCUCUUUCGACGAGUCGAGUUGUUUGGGAAUGCAGCUCAAAAUGGGAGGUAUAUUUCUUCUAAAGCUAAAUAUUGGCCAGAGACCGAUAGCGCACAAGUAGAGUGAUCGAAAGAUGAAAAGCACUUUGGAAAGAGAGUUAAACAGUACGUGAAAUUGUUGAAAGGGAAGCGCUUGCAAUCAGACUUGCACUUGGUGUUCAUCAGGGUCUCGUACCCUGUGUACUUCAUCAAGUUCAGGCCAGCAUCAGUUUGAGUGGUUAGAUAAAGGCUUAGAGAAUGUGGCCCUCUUCGGGGGGUGUUAUAGCUCUAGGUGCAAUGUAGCCUACUUGGACUGAGGACCGCGCUUCGGCUAGGAUGCUGGCGUAAUGGUUGUAAGCGACCCGUCUUGAAACACGGACCAAGGAGUGUACCUAAUAUGCGAGUGUUUGGGUGUUAAACCCAUACGCGUAAUGAAAGUGAACGCUGGUGAGAACCCUUAAGGGUGCAUCAUCGACCGAUCUUGAUGUCUUCGGAUGGAUUUGAGUAAGAGCAUAUUGGGUGCGACCCGAAAGAUGGUGAUCUAUACGUGAAUAGGGUGAAGCCAGAGGAAACUCUGGUGGAGGCUCGCAGCGGUUCUGACGUGCAAAUCGAUCGUCAAAUUUGCGUAUAGGGGCGAAAGACUAAUCGAACCAUCUAGUAGCUGGGUUCCUGCCG
rnacentral:rRNA from 1 species